AUUUGCUCAACUAGAACAGAUCCGGAGCCUUGAACUUGAUAUCAAAUCCACGAUCUGAGCUACACCAACAUGACAAGACAUACAGACGAGCAUAAGUAACUGGAAAUAGUCAUCUUCAGCAACCGAUCAAGACAGAAACCAAAAUUUCCAGAAAAUCAAAGCAUAGGAUAACAAAACACGAAUUAAUCAAACCGAUCACUACAAAUCUCAAACAGCUAUCCUAAACCCCAUGGAAUAUGAGAGAGAUUUGAGAGACUGCAAAACAUAUAUUAAGUUGAGAACGAGAUGAAAGAAGGGAAGGAUUGGGCCAUUUAUAGGUCUGAGACGCGUUUCAGAUAAAGCAAACGUAAAAAUCACGCACUGCUGGCAUGUCGAUUAACAUGAGUGGCUUGGA